UACUGAGCACAUUAAGCACUCUAGGAGCCAAGAUAGUUUCCUGAAACACGUGAAGGAAAAUGAUCAGAAAGAGAAGGAAGCCAAAGAGAAAACUACCUGGGUUCAACUGAAGCGCCAGUAUGCUCCACCCAGAGAAGCACACCACGUGAGAACCAGUGGGAAGGAGCCUGGGGUGCUGGAACUUCUUCCUUAUGUCAUAAUAGAUUCUGUGGGCUUUUUGCCAGAAUUACAACAUUUCUACAAAGGAUAAAAGAAUAAAGUCACCCAGCAAGAGGAACCCUGGUUUCUAGAGCUUGCCUUAUGGAGUGGGGGGUUAGAAUCAGGAACUGCGCUGACCACAGAGGAUCGGGCAACAUCGACUGUGUGCUGUUUGCUAACUGAAAGUUCAGAGGGAGGCAGUUUGGCCCCUCCUUGGACCUCUGGCUGAGAGAAGGGAUGUACACGGAGUGGCACCAACACACCCAGGCAGACGCUCACAUUAUGAAACAUAAAUGCAGAGUGAACAAAGAGUGUUGCAAAUCACUCAGCUUGGCUAGCUGCUGCCAAAGCAAUUCAGUACUCCUCAUGAAGCCUGCUCUGCAUUCCAGAAAACAAAAAAAAUUAGAGGCCUGAUAAGAUAACCAGGUAAUUAAUGAAGCAAUUUCCCC